AAGGCCUCCACUCCUAACGAGACCACCUGAGAACGUGUCAUUUAUGAAGCAGAAUCAAGACCCAAACAAUAAAUACAUGAAAAUGGAGGAAAAAGAAGUUGAAAGUUCAAAAUAUAUAAAAAGACUUUAGCAGGCAACUCCUGAACUUAACUUUGAGCGUCACAGAGUACCAUAAACACAAGUGGUGGAUCUUUUGCUGCUCUUAUUGAUUGUGUGGCAACAUGUUCCUCUACUGGCUCUCUGUGAUAAU